CCUACGGGAGGCAGCAGUGAGGAAUAUUGGUCAAUGGACGAGAGUCUGAACCAGCCAAGUAGCGUGAAGGAUGACUGCCCUAUGGGUUGUAAACUUCUUUUAUAUGGGAAUAGAAUGUUCCACGUGUGGGAUUUUGUAUGUACCAUAUGAAUAAGGAUCGGCUAACUCCGUGCCAGCAGCCGCGGUAAUACGGAGGAUCCGAGCGUUAUCCGGAUUUAUUGGGUUUAAAGGGAGCGUAGGUGGAUUGUUAAGUCAGUUGUGAAAGUUUGCGGCUCAACCGUAAAAUUGCAGUUGAAACUGGCAGUCUUGAGUACAGUAGAGGUGGGCGGAAUUCGUGGUGUAGCGGUGAAAUGCUUAGAUAUCACGAAGAACUCCGAUUGCGAAGGCAGUUCACUGGACUGCAACUGACACUGAGGCUCGAAAGUGUGGGUAUCAAACAGGAUUAGAUACCCGUGUAGUC
rnacentral:rRNA from 1 species